rnacentral:rRNA from 1 species
GUUGUAUGGUUAAGUGACUAAGCGUACAUGGUGGAUGCCUUGGCAGUCAGAGGCGAUGAAGGACGUACUAACCUGCGAUAAGCCGUGAGCAGUCGGUAAGAGACAUUACGACUCACGGAUUUCCGAAUGGGGAAACCCACUUAGCAUAAGCUAGGUAUCGCUGCGUGAAUACAUAGCGUAGCGAGGCGAACCGGGAGAACUGAAACAUCUAAGUACCCCGAGGAAAAGAAAUCAACCGAGAUUCCCUCAGUAGCGGCGAGCGAACGGGGAUUAGCCCUUAAGCAUCUUGGAAGUUAGUGGAACGGUCCUGGAAAGGCCGGCGAUACAGGGUGAUAGCCCCGUACACGAAAACAACCUUGAUGUGAAAUCGAGUAGGGCGGGACACGUGACAUCCUGUCUGAAUAUGGGGGGACCAUCCUCCAAGGCUAAAUACUCCUGACUGACCGAUAGUGAACCAGUACCGUGAGGGAAAGGCGAAAAGAACCCCUGUGAGGGGAGUGAAAUAGAACCUGAAACCGUGUACGUACAAGCAGUGGGAGCCCUUCGGGGUGACUGCGUACCUUUUGUAUAAUGGGUCAGCGACUUACAUUUUGUAGCGAGGUUAACCGUAUAGGGGAGCCGUAGGGAAACCGAGUCUUAACUGGGCGUCUAGUUGCAAGGUGUAGACCCGAAACCGGGUGAUCUAGCCAUGGGCAGGUUGAAGGUUGAGUAACAUCAACUGGAGGACCGAACCCACUAACGUUGCAAAGUUAGGGGAUGACCUGUGGCUGGGGGUGAAAGGCCAAUCAAACUCGGAGAUAGCUGGUUCUCCCCGAAAGCUAUUUAGGUAGCGCCUCGGACGAAUACUACUGGGGGUAGAGCACUGUUUGGGCUAGGGGGUCAUCCCGACUUACCAACCCCAUGCAAACUCCGAAUACCAGUAAGUAAUAUCCGGGAGACACACGGCGGGUGCUAACGUCCGUCGUGAAGAGGGAAACAACCCAGACCGCCGGCUAAGGUCCCAAAGUUCUGGUUAAGUGGGAAACGAUGUGGGAAGGCUCAGACAGCUAGGAUGUUGGCUUAGAAGCAGCCAUCAUUUAAAGAAAGCGUAAUAGCUCACUAGUCGAGUCGGCCUGCGCGGAAGAUGUAACGGGGCUCAAACCAGGCACCGAAGCCGCGGAUUCACACUAAGUGUGAGUGGUAGGGGAGCGUUCUGUAAGUCUGCGAAGGUGUAUCGAGAGGUAUGCUGGAGAUAUCAGAAGUGCGAAUGCUGACGUAAGUAACGAUAAAGGGGGUGAAAAGCCUCCUCGCCGGAAGACCAAGGGUUCCUGUCCAACGUUAAUCGGGGCAGGGUGAGUCGACCCCUAAGGCGAGGCCGAAAGGCGUAGUCGAUGGGAAGCAGGUUAAUAUUCCUGCACGACUUGUAAUUGCGAUGGGGGGACGGAGAAGGCUAGGUGGGCCAGGCGACGGUUGUCCUGGUGAAAGUGCGUAGGUGGUGUUUCUAGGCAAAUCCGGAGACACAACACUGAGACACGAGACGAACACACUACGGUGUGGAAGCCAUUGAUGCCCUGCUUCCAGGAAAAGCCUCUAAGCUUCAGAUUACAAGUCAUCGUACCCCAAACCGACACAGGUGGUCGGGUAGAGAAUACCAAGGCGCUUGAGAGAACUCGGGUGAAGGAACUAGGCAAAAUAGAACCGUAACUUCGGGAGAAGGUUCGCUCUUGACAGUGAAGUCCCUUGCGGAUGGAGCAGUUGGGAGUCGCAGUGACCAGAUGGCUGGGACUGUUUAUCAAAAACACAGCACUCUGCAAACACGAAAGUGGACGUAUAGGGUGUGACACCUGCCCGGUGCCGGAAGGUUAAUUGAUGGGGUUAGCGCAAGCGAAGCUCUUGAUCGAAGCCCCGGUAAACGGCGGCCGUAACUAUAACGGUCCUAAGGUAGCGAAAUUCCUUGUCGGGUAAGUUCCGACCUGCACGAAUGGUGUAACCAUGGCCAUGCUGUCUCCACCCGAGACUCAGUGAAAUCGAAUUCGCCGUGAAGAUGCGGUGUACCCGCGGCUAGACGGAAAGACCCCGUGAACCUUUACUACAGCUUGGCACUGAACAUUGAACCUACAUGUGUAGGAUAGGUGGGAGGCUUUGAAGGCGUGACGCCAGUUGCGCUGGAGCCGUCCUUGAAAUACCACCCUUGUAUGUUUGAUGUUCUAACGCAGGCCCCUGAAUCGGGGUCGCGGACAGUGCCUGGUGGGUAGUUUGACUGGGGCGGUCUCCUCCCAAAGAGUAACGGAGGAGCACGAAGGUUGGCUAAUCCUGGUCGGACAUCAGGAGGUUAGUGCAAUGGCAUAAGCCAGCUUAACUGCGAGACGGACAGGUCGAGCAGGUACGAAAGUAGGUCAUAGUGAUCCGGUGGUUCUGAAUGGAAGGGCCAUCGCUCAACGGAUAAAAGGUACUCCGGGGAUAACAGGCUGAUACCGCCCAAGAGUUCAUAUCGACGGCGGUGUUUGGCACCUCGAUGUCGGCUCAUCACAUCCUGGGGCUGAAGUCGGUCCCAAGGGUAUGGCUGUUCGCCAUUUAAAGUGGUACGCGAGCUGGGUUCAGAACGUCGUGAGACAGUUCGGUCCCUAUCUGCCGUGGGCGUUGGAUGAUUGAAGGGAGUUGCUCCUAGUACGAGAGGACCGGAGUGAACGAACCUCUGGUGUUCGGGUUGUCACGCCAGUGGCACUGCCCGGUAGCUAAGUUCGGAAUCGAUAACCGCUGAAAGCAUCUAAGCGGGAAGCGAGCCCUGAGAUGAGUCAUCCCUGACCCCUUGAGGGUCCUAAAGGGCCGUUGGAGACCACAACGUUGAUAGGUGGGGUGUGUAAGCGCGGCGACGUGUUGAGCUAACCCAUACUAAUUACCCGUGAGGCUUAACCAUACAACACCCAAGAAGUGUU